GAUGAACGCUGACAGAAUGCUUAACACAUGCAAGUCUACUUGAAUUUGGGUUUUUUAACUUAGAUUUGGGUGGCGGACGGGUGAGUAACGCGUAAAGAACUUGCCUCACAGCUAGGGACAACAUUUGGAAACGAAUGCUAAUACCUGAUAUUAUGAUUAUAAGGCAUCUUAGAAUUAUGAAAGCUAUAUGCGCUGUGAGAGAGCUUUGCGUCCCAUUAUCUAGUUGGAGAGGUAACGGCUCACCAAGGCGAUGAUGGGUAGCCGGCCUGAGAGGGUGAACGGCCACAGGGGGACUGAGACACGGCCCUUACUCCUACGGGAGGCAGCAGUGGGGAAUAUUGGACAAUGGACCAAGAGUCUGAUCCAGCAAUUCUGUGUGCACGAUGACGUUUUUCGGAAUGUAAAGUGCUUUCAGUUGGGAAGAAAAAAAUGACGGUACCAACAGAAGAAGUGACGGCUAAAUACGUG
rnacentral:rRNA from 1 species